UAAUAAGUGUUUUAUUGGCACUUUUUAAAAUCCAUAUCCACCUUGUGUGCAAUGUCAGUCGAUCUUCUUCAUGGAGAUCGACCAAACAUCAACCUUUAAUCUUUAACUCUUUGUCUUAAAAAUAUUAUGAAUAAACAAUUCAAAAUA
rnacentral:misc_RNA from 1 species